GUUAAGAUUGUAUAAACCAUAGAUCCUGUGUAAGUUAGAGUUGUUGCUUACAUUUCAUAUAGAGUCUCACUAUUCAUAUAUUCUGAGAAAAGUUAUUGAGGCUAUCUUUGUUCUGUGCUGAUUUUUCCAAAUAAACCUUUUGAAUCUUAAAAAAAAUGUUUGAAAGUAAAUCUCUUUUGCUUAUAAAAUAACUCCUGGUUUUAAUCUUUUGCCAUCAUUCAUUUACAUUUCCCCCAGUUAUCACUUUAAGAGUUAGUGUUAAGCUUUAACCCAACCAGCCAUACCGACAGAGUGUUGGCAGCGAAAGGAAGGCGUGACCUCUUAUUCCUAAAUACUAGGUCAGCCACUUAGCAUUUCCUGUUGUUUUUAAGAAGUGUUUUAAAAGGUAGUGUAACUGAUGUAUUGGAAUAUUUCCAUUUUGUUAAGUCUGUCCAGUAACUCCCAUGUAAUGUUAGUACUGUUCGUUUUUGAGGAAUAUCCGUUCAAACGCUCAUUCUCCCUUUUUCCUCAGCCUGGUAAGGUCUGUGACACAUCCUUCUUGGAAAUACAGUUUUGAACUUUCCUUUUUAGUUCCUCAGAGAAAGUGAUGCCAUAUUGUGAUGUUCCUUCUCUAUUUAUUUAAAAUUUCAAUAUGUAUGUGUGUGUGUACAUUUAUAUAAGUAUAUGGGGUCUCGUAUUUGAAUAUCCAGUUGCCCAACCCAUGAUCGUGGCAGGUGUUUUCUCUCCUAACAUUUCCAUGUAUUCAUACAUCGUCCUCUUACAGAACACCUCUCUGAAGAGCAGCACACAUUGCAGUAGAUUUUGUUUGUUUUUCUGCCUGGUUUUGGGGGAAUAAGCUAUAAUUGGGAAAGAUGACUUCAGUCGAUCAGAAGUCUUACAUAAAAGCAACUGGUUAUAAAACAUGACUGAGAUGUAAUCUUUUGUACAGAAUCUCAUUUUGUCGUUUUGUGUUUCUACUCCUUUUGUGUGCAGCAGCAGGGUGGAUAUAUUUUCUAAAACCUUGGAAUAUUCAGAAACUUUGUUUUUAGUAAUUACUUAAGUGAUUUUGAGAUUUAAAAAUAAGAGGCAGACUAAUUCCCAUUACAUAUGUGUCAAGAGUAUAAGCUGAUGGGGGGAGUGCACUUUGUUUUAACUUGUAACAUUAUUUUGGGAAUGAGUUCUUAAAUUCAACUUUAAGUGAUUUAAAAAAAAAAACAUUUUCAACUGUCUUUUCAGUCCUUCAGCAGCACUUUUCACCAGUGUUUUUGAUUCCAUCCUGAAUUAAGAUUUGGAGAAGCUCAAUUUUUUUUUUUUUUUUUUUUUUGUUUAUACCAAGCUGCCUUUGUCCAAGGCUGUGAUGAUUGUGUUAUUAUUUAAGAACACUUAGUGACCCUAGUCUCCUCAGAGCCUAGUGUCCAGGCUCAGCUCUAGCUCCAAGACAAGAGUCUACACAGCCUUUUUCACAUCAAGAAAACCCCGUUCCAGUGCUUACCAAGGUUUCUCUGAGAGAAGUCAGCCUCUGAGGGACAGUCAAGUGGAACAUCAUGAACGUCUAGCUAUUCAGUUGUUAGUGGCUUUGUGAGUUAUCUUACUUCACAGCUCUUUUAUUCAGGAUUUUUAAUUUCAUUAAUUAGCAUUCCAUAGGUGAUUUGAAUAUCAUUCGCUUAAUAAUAGGAAAAUUCGUAAAAAAAUAAUAGUUUUGGCUUUUCUGAUUUAGUGUGACAUUGUCAUAUGUACUAUUAUAAUUCCUUCCUACAAAAGUUAAUAUGCCAUAAUUUUAUUCUUAUAAUAGUACUACAGUCUUAUUUCUUUUCUUGUCUUGAAAUAAUCAAUUUUAAAAUCUUGAAGAAUUCAGAAUGCUCGUGCUAAUUGUAGUUAAUAAUCAUAUAAUAAAGAAAAAUCUAAUUU
rnacentral:lncRNA from 1 species